AUAAUGAUAUCUUUUUUUAUUUCGAAUUGUUAUGAUAUUGUUCUAAGUAUUUGAAAUAAUGGGUCCACCCUAAAGGCCGUUGGUGAUUAUUCUACAUACAUUUAAUUGGUUUUAAAAUGUUUGAAAAAACUUUAGAUAUCAGUGUCCAUGCCCAUAUUAUAUUAAAAAAGAGGAAUAGGACGUAACUAAUGUUGUUAUAACUUAUGUCCAAUACCUUUUGCUACUUUUGCAAAUACAAUAUAUCUAAACUAAACUAAACUAUAUCUUUGUUUAGAUAUAUUGUAUAGCUAUCAGUAUCUGUGCGUACUAUUAGAUCCGUAAUUUGUCUUUUGUCGUUUUGUUAUUUAUUUUUGUGCAUAGAACAGACCUGACAAGUCGAGUUUUUUUAAACUGAGGUUUACAGAUAUUAUGUUGGUUCGUUAAACCGCAUUCCAAGGUUAGGGGACAAUUGGGCGAACAAAAUCGUAUUUGACCCACAAUACUUUUGAUGUGCGUGUCCUAAAGCAGGAGCCUUUACUCCAGUCGUUGUCGUUAGUUGUAAAACACAAACGGUACUAAUUUUACUGCACCACGGCCGUAUGUGCAUUUCGACAUGUCUGCCAUAAUUGUACCUAUUCAUUUAUUUGUACUUUGGACCAGGCUGUUGCUUUUAUCUUUUGACCUAUUUCAUCCUCCUGAUACUUUUAUAACCUACAAUAAGGUGGGGGUUUUGCUCAUUUGUUAAUACCGAACAACUUGGCUACCUGCAAAUCGUUGUUAUUUUGUCUUGAAUAGAUAGUUGUCUUGUUGACAAUCAUAUCACAUCUUUUUAUUUAAUAGCAUAAAACAAUUAGUUAAAACAAUUUAAAUACAAUUAAUACAUCACAAUAGGCAAUAUUAUACAUUAAAAAGUUGCAUAAUAGUUGAUCAGACAUAUAAUUUGGGAAGAAACUACAAUUUAUGUGUAGAAGAGACAAAGAAGAAGAAAAGUCUAAGUUACUGCUAAGAAUGAAAUGAAAUCUUUUGUAAGACAGAAAGGGAUUUUACCAAUCUAAUUAAAAUUAUAUCUCCGCACUUGCUCCUCGUUGUUUAUAUGUCGCGCGUGGGAGAUCUAACAACAGCCGCUUGAGGGUCAUGUCUAGGGUCAAAUUUGGUGAACUUUGACCGACCAAUCAGCGUGCAGAAAAUCAAUUUCGAUUAACCAAUCAGCGACGGGCUUGUAUACCAUUAUCGGAUCGUUAAAAAACAUGGAUGCGCCCAGUUUGGACAACGUUUUGACAAAAGUUUUGCCAAAAUUUGGUAUAAAUGAUAUCAAGAAGGAGCAAAAGGAAAUUAUAGAGUGUUUAGUUAACAAGAAGAAGUGCGUGGCUGUACUCCCGACUGGUUUUGGCAAGUCACUGCCGUUUCAACUGUACCUUCCAGUUGUCCGGGCGGUUAUUGAAAACAGUUCUGACUGAAAAGUUUUAGUCUGUUGUCCCUUAGUAGCUCUGAUGCAGGACCAGGUGGAAAAACUCUCGCACAUUGGAAAUAUUACUGCUGCAUACAAAGGAUCAUCUUCCCCAGAGUGACGAUCAAAUCAAAGAGGGGUUGAUAGAUGUCAUUUUUGCAUCUCCAGAAACAUUGGUUGGUGAUCCCUAUUGGAGAACGUGUUUAAAGAAGUUGAACAUUAAGUUGGUUGUAAUUGAUGAGUUUCACACAAUAGCAAUUUGGGGCCAAGAUGAAGGAGACAGAAAAAAAGGCUUUUCGAAAAUGGUUUUCAAAUGUAGGUGAACUAAGAUCCCUCUUUGCCGAUGCUACAGUAUUGGCUUUAAGUGCAACUUGCACUGUAAGCUUUAGGAAAAAAGUCAUGAAAAUAUUGCAGCUAGCGGAGGACACAACAGAAAUUAAUUUAUCACCAAACAAGUCUAAUAUUAAACUAGUAUCUUCCAAAAUUAAAAAUUAAAUUGAAAUGGGAAUGACAUGGUUAGUAGAUGCAUUAGAGGAAAAAAGUCAGGACUUCCCUCGUACACUUUUGUAUUGUUCAUCGAUAAAUGACACUUCCAAACUUUAUAAAUACAUUGUAACAGAAUUGCCACAUUGUGCCAAGUAUAUUGAGAUGUUCCAUUCUGAAACUCCAGAUGUUAACAAAAACAUCAUAAUUAAUGCAUUGAAGGAGGAAAGUAGUGUUUUGAGACUUAUUUUGUCAACCAGUGCCCUGGGAAUGGGUUUAGAUGUAAAAAAGUGUAGUGGAGUGGUAUUAUUUGGACCUCCAAAUAAUCUGGUAGAUUUGCUGCAAGAAAUAGGGCGAGUGUGGAGGGAUGGAAAUCCAUCAGUUGCCAUUAUCCUAUACAAUGGAUACCACUUGCAGAAGUUGAAACCGGAAGCUAAGGCAAUUCUUAAAGCUAAAGAUUGUAGGAGAAAGGAUCUGAUGUGUAAUUUCCUCAGAAAUUCAGACUUGGAUGAUUUGAUGAAGAAAGAAAGCAGGAAACAUUCAUGCUGUGACUUGUGUACUAAGUCUUGUAAUUGUGAAUCCUGUGAUAUGUUACCUCUUGAGAAGUUAUUUCUGUCAGAACAAGUUGUUGAGGAGCUCGAGGAGCAAGAAGAUUCUGCUGUUUCAGAUAGCGAUACUGAAGACUACAAUUUGUCGGCCUAUGAAUACUUCGAAGAUCUUGAUAUGGCUUUAUUAGAAAUACAAGAUGAUUAAAACAGUUGAUAUUUAUUUA